ensembl:lncRNA
AGAACAUCUCGAGGGGCGAGGCCCGAUUACUUGAAACAUCUUGCAUAACUGCAGUGCAAUAUCAAAACCAGGAACUUGACAUUGAUGCUAUCUACAGAACUUAUUCAAAUUCCACCAGCAAGGAGACAAUCUGAAAGACUUAUUGGUAGAAUUUGGGUUGAACAGAUGUGCUCCGUAGGUGUCCUAGUCCUGAAGCCCAGAGUGAGUCAAAAGUACCGGAGUUGGAGAUUCCUGCUGCAAACAUUUCCAUCCCCACCUGGGAGCCUGCCUUCCUGACAGUCCAGGCCCUUCGGCAGUAAGAAGGACCCUCUGAGAAGAGCGGUCGCUGCAGAGGCUGGAUGACAGACAGACACACCCACAAUCUUGGGGGAGGAAAUGGAUCCAGUCAGAGAGCAAAUGGAGCGGCCUCAUUUCCUUCCCUUUUGUCCUUUGCGGGAAACUGACAUUGACUCAGCUGUGAGCAGUGGGGUAGGGAGGGGUGUGAGGGGGUGUCUAGAGCAUCCUGAGGCUUGCCCUCCCUAUCUUGCUACUUAGGACUGUGGGCCCAGCCAUAAACCACUUUCUCCACCAUCUCGAGAGAAAGUUACACUUUAAAAAAAUUUUAUCUAUAUAUUUAUUUUGAGACAGAGUCUCGCCGUGUUGCCCAGGCUGGAAUGCAAUGGUAUGAUCUUGGCUCGCUGCAACUUCCGCCUGCCAGGCUCAAAUUAUCCUUCUGCCUCAAUCGAUCUUCCUGCCUCAGCCUCCCAAGUAGCUAGGACUACAGGCAUGCACCAUCACACCCAGCUAAUUUUUGUGUAUGUGUUUUGUAGGGACAAGGUUUCACCAUGUUGCUCAGGCUGGUCUCGAACUCCUGAGCUCAAGUGAUCCUCCCACCUCAACCUCCCAAAGUGCUGGGAUUACAGGCAUGAGCCACCAAGCCUGGCCAAAGAUGCACUUUUAAGAAGAAUUUCAUUUACCAAGCAUUUUGCAUGUGACAUGUAUUGAUCCAGGAGCAUUUUUUAAAUAAAGAGAAUCUCACUGUGUCACCCAGGCUGGAGGGCAGUGGCGCGAUCACAACUGAUUGCAGCCUGAAAUUCCUGGGCUCAAAUAAUCCUCCCACCACAGCCUCCCAAGUAGCUGGGACCAUAGGUGCUGACCACCAAGCCCAGCUAAUUUUUGAAUUUUCUGUAGAGACAGGGUCUUGCUAUGUUGCCCAGGCUGGUCUCUAGAACUCCUGGCCUCAAGCAACCCUCCUGCCCUCAUCCUCCCAAAUUGCUGGGAUUACAGGAGUGAGCCACUGCACCCGUCUGAUCCAGGAGCUUUGCAUUUCAUUUCCCUUGCUCACAUUCCCUUCCCACAGAUGAGGAGACUGAUGCUGUAGGAAGUUAAGUGACUUUCCCAAGGUCACAUGGGUGGAGAGUGAGCCUGGAGACUAAUACAUGUCCUGUCUGGCUGCCAUCUGUGGAUGUGGGGCCAGAGGAAAAAAGAGUAGCCUCUUUUUGUACAGCUCGGUUGAGGCUACCAAAUUCUUUCACAUCCUUGAAUUCAGUUGGCUUUUAAGACAGGCCAUGUUAUAACUUUAAUUUUUAAGCAGGUGGAGAGAAACACUAGGCUUACAUCAAAUAAUAUGCCCAAGGUCAACAAGGAAGCAAGGGAAAUAACCCAGAGUCAAACCCAGGUCUACUACACUCAGGAUCCGUACUCGGGCAGGGCACUGUGGCUCAUUCCUAUAAUCCCAGCACUUUGGGAGGCUGAGGAAGGAGAACCACUUGAGCCCAGGAAUUAGAGACCAGCCUGGCCAACAUAGUGAGACCCCAUCUCUACAAAAUAAAAAAAA